UUAGCGACAGAAGAAGCACCGGCUAACUCCCGUGCCAGCAGCCGCGGUAAUACGGAGGGUGCGAGCGUUAAUCGGAAUUACUGGGCGUAAAGCGCAUGCAGGUGGUUUGUUAAGUCAGAUGUGAAAGCCCGGGGCUCAACCUCGGAAUUGCAUUUGAAACUGGCAGACUAGAGUACUGUAGAGGGGGGUAGAAUUUCAGGUGUAGCGGUGAAAUGCGUAGAGAUCUGAAGGAAUACCGGUGGCGAAGGCGGCCCCCUGGACAGAUACUGACACUCAGAUGCGAAAGCGUGGGGAGCAAACAGGAUUAGAUACCCUGGUAGUCCACGCCGUAAACGAUGUCUACUUGGAGGUUGUGGCCUUGAGCCGUGGCUUUCGGAGCUAACGCGUUAAGUAGACCGCCUGGGGAGUACGGUCGCAAGAUUAAAACUCAAAUGAAUUGACGGGGGCCCGCACAAGCGGUGGAGCAUGUGGUUUAAUUCGAUGCAACGCGAAGAACCUUACCUACUCUUGACAUCCAGAGAACUUUUCAGAGAUGGAUUGGUGCCUUCGGGAACUCUGAGACAGGUGCUGCAUGGCUGUCGUCAGCUCGUGUUGUGAAAUGUUGGGUUAAGUCCCGCAACGAGCGCAACCCUUAUCCUUGUUUGCCAGCGAGUAAUGUCGGGAACUCCAGGGAGACUGCCGGUGAUAAACCGGAGGAAGGUGGGGACGACGUCAAGUCAUCAUGGCCCUUACGAGUAGGGCUACACACGUGCUACAAUGGCGCAUACAGAGGGCAGCCAACUUGCGAGAGUGAGCGAAUCCCAAAAAGUGCGUCGUAGUCCGGAUCGGAGUCUGCAACUCGACUCCGUGAAGUCGGAAUCGCUAGUAAUCGUGGAUCAGAAUGCCACGGUGAAUACGUUCCCGGGCCUUGUACACACCGCCCGUCACACCAUGGGAGUGGGCUGCAAAAGAAGUAGGUAG
rnacentral:rRNA from 1 species